rnacentral:rRNA from 1 species
ACGGGAAUGCCGCGCUGAUGCGAUUUCGGUCAAUCAUGUGGCAUUCGAGUGGCGGACGGGUGAGUAACGCGUGGGUAACCUGCCUUACACAGGGGGAUAACACCUGGAAACAGGUGCUAAUACUGCAUAAGCGCACAGGGCCGCAUGGCCCGGUGUGAAAAACUCCGGUGGUGUAAGAUGGACCCGCGUCUGAUUAGCUUGUUGGCGGGGUAGGGGCCCACCAAGGCGACGAUCAGUAGCCGGCCUGAGAGGGUGGACGGCCACAUUGGGACUGAGACACGGCCCAAACUCCUACGGGAGGCAGCAGUGGGGGAUAUUGGACAAUGGGGGAAACCCUGAUCCAGCGACGCCGCGUGAGUGAAGAAGUAUUUCGGUAUGUAAAGCUCUGUCAGCAGGGAAGAAAGAAAUGACGGUACCUGACCAAGAAGCCCCGGCUAACUACGUGCCAGCAGCCGCGGUAAUACGUAGGGGGCAAGCGUUAUCCGGAAUUACUGGGUGUAAAGGGAGCGUAGACGGUGAUGCAAGUCUGGAGUGAAAGGCGGGGGCCCAACCCCCGGACUGCUCUGGAAACUGUGUAACUUGAGUGCAGGAGAGGUAAGCGGAAUUCCUAGUGUAGCGGUGAAAUGCGUAGAUAUUAGGAGGAACACCAGUGGCGAAGGCGGCUUACUGGACUGUAACUGACGUUGAGGCUCGAAAGCGUGGGGAGCAAACAG